UACGGGGGGGGCAAGCGUUGUUCGGAAUUACUGGGCGUAAAGGGCUCGUAGGCGGCCAACUAAGUCAGACGUGAAAUCCCUCGGCUUAACCGGGGAACUGCAUCUGAUACUGGAUGGCUUGAGUUCGGGAGAGGGAUGCGGAAUUCCAGGUGUAGCGGUGAAAUGCGUAGAUAUCGGGAGGAACACCAGUGGCGAAGGCGACUACCUGGCCCAUUCUUGACGCUGAGGCGCGAAAGCUAGGGGAGCGAACGGG
rnacentral:rRNA from 1 species